GCCUCCCAAAGUGCUGGGAUUACAGGCGUGAGCCACCACACCCUGCCCAGGAAUACAUGAGACUUUGAAGUUCUGAUUGCUAACCCAAGCAAUGUUGGCUGUAAUUAUCAGGCCCCGCUGUGUUCAGAAACUUAAAGUUUAGGUGGGAAAGUAAAACUCAGUAAUCAUAGGUAAACAGAGACCAAGUAAGCGCUGCUCUUCGAGGUCUAGAUAUAGCUGUGGCAAGAGGCACGCUGGGGAGGAAGAAAAGUUCUGGGUAACCUGGAGGGGUCAGGGAGGAGUUUCAGAAAGUAGUCGUGGCCUUGGCUUGGGUGUGGAAGUAAUAGCAAACUCAGCAAGAUACCUUUUAUGUUUUGAUAACGGCUUUAUGGAGAUAUAAUUUGCAUACCAUUCAAUUCACCCCUGUAAAGUGUAUAAAUCGGUUUUUAGUACAUUCAUGGAGUUGUGCAAUCAUUACCAUCAUCAAUUUUAGAACAUUUCCAGCACCUCAAAAA
rnacentral:lncRNA from 10 species